GACGAACGCUGGCGGCGUGCCUAAUACAUGCAAGUCGAGCGGAACUGGGGGAGCUUGCUCCUUCCAGUUUAGCGGCGGACGGGUGAGUAACACAUGGGCAACCUGCCCUGCAGAUCGGGAUAACUCCGGGAAACCGGUGCUAAUACCGAAUAGUUUGGCGCCUCUCCUGAGGCGCCACGGAAAGACGGUUUCGGCUGUCACUGCAGGAUGGGCCCGCGGCGCAUUAGCUAGUUGGUGGGGUAACGGCCCACCAAGGCGACGAUGCGUAGCCGACCUGAGAGGGUGACCGGCCACACUGGGACUGAGACACGGCCCAGACUCCUACGUGAGGCAGCAGUAGGGAAUCUUCCGCAAUGGACGCAAGUCUGACGGAGCAACGCCGCGUGAGUGACGAAGGUUUUCGGAUCGUAAAACUCUGUUGUGAGGGAAGAACACGUACCAACUAACUAUUGGUACCUUGACGGUACCUCACCAGAAAGCCACGGCUAACUACGUGCCAGCAGCCGCGGUAA
rnacentral:rRNA from 1 species